rnacentral:rRNA from 1 species
UACGUAGGGUGCGAGCGUUAAUCGGAAUUACUGGGCGUAAAGCGUGCGCAGGCGGUUUUGUAAGUCUGUCGUGAAAUCCCCGGGCUUAACCUGGGAAUUGCGAUGGAGACUGCAAGGCUAGAAUCUGGCAGAGGGGGGUAGAAUUCCACGUGUAGCAGUGAAAUGCGUAGAGAUGUGGAGGAACACCGAUGGCGAAGGCAGCCCCCUGGGUCAAGAUUGACGCUCAUGCACGAAAGCGUGGGGAGCAAACAGG